rnacentral:rRNA from 1 species
UCACUCCCAACCCCUGUGACAUACCAAUUGUUGCCUCGGCGGAUCAGCCCGCUCCCGGUAAAACGGGACGGCCCGCCAGAGGACCCCUAAACUCUGUUUCUAUAUGUAACUUCUGAGUAAAACCAUAAAUAAAUCAAAACUUUCAACAACGGAUCUCUUGGUUCUGGCAUCGAUGAAGAACGCAGCAAAAUGCGAUAAGUAAUGUGAAUUGCAGAAUUCAGUGAAUCAUCGAAUCUUUGAACGCACAUUGCGCCCGCCAGUAUUCUGGCGGGCAUGCCUGUUCGAGCGUCAUUUCAACCCUCAAGCCCUCGGGUUUGGUGUUGGGGAUCGGCGAGCCCUUGCGGCAAGCCGGCCCCGAAAUCUAGUGGCGGUCUCGCUGCAGCUUCCAUUGCGUAGUAGUAAAACCCUCGCAACUGGUACGCGGCGCGGCCAAGCCGUUAAACCCCCAACUUCUGAAUGUUGACCUCGGAUCAGGUAGGAAUACCCGCUGAACUUAAGCAUAUCAAUAGCCGGAGGAAA